UACGUAGGGUGCAAGCGUUGUCCGGAAUUAUUGGGCGUAAAGAGCUCGUAGGCGGUCUGUCGCGUCUGCUGUGAAAACUCAGGGCUUAACCCUGAGCUUGCAGUGGGUACGGGCAGACUAGAGUGCGGUAGGGGAGAAUGGAAUUCCUGGUGUAGCGGUGAAAUGCGCAGAAAUCAGGAGGAACACCGGUGGCGAAGGCGGGUCUCUGGGCCGUAACUGACGCUGAGGAGCGAAAGCAUGGGGAGCGAACAGG
rnacentral:rRNA from 1 species